AAUAGUGUUUAUAACAUCAGGGAUCACGUUUCGGAUAAAAAGAGUACAGGCGUACCACCGAGCACAUCGCUACCUAAAAUUAAAUUGUGUUUCAAUUACUUUCACAUAGGUGUUUCUCAGCUGCUGUGACAGAUAUUAAAUUCGACCUUCGCCAAUGUUACUUUUGUUAAACUCCACACCAUUGCUUUUGUAUUGGUACAUCUAUAUAUCAUGUUGAAUGAUUGCUUUUGAAAAUUCAUUCAAGAGAGGAAUGCUGUUUUGUUCUAACGUCCCAUGACAUUUUAUCAUCCUUAGCCAGAUUAGUAGAUUUCAACGUGUUGAUGGAAAUUGGAACCUUAGAAGUCGUCUUUUGUUUCUGCUACUUGAAAAAGCCCUCUGGGAGACAGGGUUCCCAGAAAAUAUCUAAAGGUAUGCAUGCCCACACCAAAGAUAAGCAGCUGGUGAUGACUGACUUACAAAUCAAGUUUAAUAAUGGAGUUCCAUUGAUACGGCAGAACUGUUCUUUCUAGAUUUAAGAGACAGCAGCUAUAAGGGUUUGGAUUUUCAAUAAUUCCUGCCCACCCGUCUGCAGACGGUAUGUAUUAUAGAGAUAGAUGGUCAUGGCAUGCGGUACAUUGUGCACGUAAUGGAUGGAAUAAAGUUUUGGUCACAGAAUUCAGUCUUGUGAGAAACCUAUCCCAAAGUGACCAAGAAAUGCUGGCUGUAAUAACCCCGGGAUUACAAACACUGUCGGUUUAAUUAUUGAGACCUGCCCCCAUCCCCGGUGUUUUUUCAUGGUAGGAUUGUCUGCGAAUGAUAUUCUUAAUGUGAGGACAUUUUUGGGUGCACAUUUUUUUUAUAUUUCUGUUAGAUAUCACACCAUGUCUUUGAACCAUUCCUUAACUGGCACUUGGACACUACUGCAAAGCCGACAUGCCGUAAAUAAACAGUUACCAUCCAAGGGGCUCUCCUUAAGGAUCGAUCGACAUUCCAGGUUGGAUCAACGAUUCAUCACAGACACCCCACACGUGUUUCAUAUCUACCUAAGACGAAUGGCAAUGGGACAAAGUUAACUCUUAACAUUCCGAAGUGGCCCAUUGACACCAAAGAGUGUGUGUGUCUGUGGGUGUGAGUUUUUACAUGCUUAUAUACAUCAGAUAUGAUUAUUUACGUCUGGGACCGAUCUUAAGCGUCAGCAUCCGAUAGACGUGACCAGGGCUCGAACCUCGAACAUCUGCUUCAGUUCGUAACUUCGCUAUGUAGCUUGGAUUACAGGUGAAUACCACAACAGCCCAGUUCAAGAUCUACUUGAAUCAGAGGUAUAGCUGUAAUUUUGUUGAUAUGUAAGAGCUAAAAAAUGGGUUGAACAUCUCCCCUGUUUCUCAUUUUUAAACAAUUUGAUCACACAUUAUUCAAUGAACAAGUACGCACGGCGUGGAACUGAAAUUUAUUGAAUCAGUUUAAAAUUUCCCGGUACACUGUUAUUAUACGCUGCAACAUAUUAGUUUCUCCACAUUACGAAGGUCAUGUAGACUAUUUGAGAUAAACAUCGCACCAAGAUGGCUUCGCUUCUUGUUACGGUUUUGGUCAGCAUUGCUAUACCAUGCGUUUUGAUUGGCAUCGUUUGCAACGCUGUGGUCCUAUUUUGCAUUUUGUGCACCCCAUGUCUACGAACCCGGACCAACGCCAUUAUCAUCAGCCUUGCCUUCUCUAGUUUUUGUUUCCUAUUUUUUGUCGUGCCCUUCAUCAUAGACUCGUUUCUGACGAAUACCUGGAGAUACUCAAUGUGGUAUUGCCAUCUAACGGCCAGACUUUCGUUCAUGCUCGUUGGUGUUACCGUGAAUAACAUUGCAGUCUUGGGACUCUAUCGCUACUUCUGUGUAGUUCAGCGGUCAAAACCGGCUUUGCGCGGUAAAUGGUGCAUACUCAUCUUAAUCUCCGUAUGCUGGGCAUUGCCGAUGCUGUUCCAAUUAGUUUACACCUUCACAGGCUGGACAAAGUCCGUGUUUAUCCCAUCCUAUGGCAGAUGCAUUCUCGCGAAGAACUCCGUCACAUCUGGAAGAGCCUACGACGUCCUUCUGCUUUCUGGGAUUAUAAUACCAUUCCUGAUAGCGCUGUUCAGCUAUGGAAGCAUUAUCAUAGCGGUGAAAUCUAGCGCCCGCAAAGUACGAGCCGAGCCCAAAGCUUCCCAACGGAAAUCGAAUACUGAUCAGAAUGAAGAUGCCACAUACGCCGAAGGGGCGUCAACUUGCCCUGACCCAACAACUAUAUCCACCGACGGCAAGAGCGAAUCUCGUGAUACCGAACCGUCGUGUUCGAAAACAGCUGCGACGACGUCGCAAGUUGCUCGCAACGGUCGUAGACGCCGCGGUGUGAAGAAACGCGGGGUGAUCUCGCAUCAGGAAAUUGUCUUGACGAAGAUCUGCGCUGUCAUGUUUGUGUUUUUUUCAGCAUGCUACGGUCCUAUUUUAUUGCUGACAAUCGCCUUUUCAUCUACGGCAUUCCCACCGGACGCUUACACCACGUGCACAAUUAUCUAUUGGAUGGGCAGCUGUAUAAAUCCUAUUGUGUACGCGACACUGCAGACUGAGAUGCGAUUAGCAUUAAUGAAACUAAUUCCCCUGUUAACAUGUAAAGGGCAACGUCAAGUGCACAGUGUGAAUAUGUAGAAAUAAAAAUCGGCCUUCAUAUGUGAAAACAUGAUCUACGGAGUUGCAAGGUGGUUGCGCAUGGCCAGAAACUUAUCACAAGGCAGUGUGUUAAGAUCCAGUAUUAUAUCAACGAGUAUCUUUAUAAAGUUUACUGGAUUAAAUAGUUUUGUUUAAAAAAAAUCAAUUCCAUAUUUUAUUGUGCAAAAAAAAAAUCAGAAAUAGGAAUCCUCAGAAAAUUAAUUUUGCCCAAUGGAUCACGGGCCUGGCAGCCACUGAGCAGCGCCAGAUCGACGGUGCUCUAUCCCAUAAAUCGUUGAACGCCAAACAGUGUAGUAGGAAGUCCCAUCUUUUAACAUCUUUUGGUCAGACGCGGCCGGGGUCUGAACCCCCUACCUCCCGGUUGUGAGAUGGACGCUCUACCAACUGAGCCAACACACUGGUGCAACUUGAUGUAAUCGCAAUUAGUUUAGCGGCAAUGUCAUUUUAACGUUUACUCUAUCCAUAAAUAUUUUUAUCGUUGAUUGUAAAUCUGAUCAAACAUGCACACGCAAUAUUAAAACACAAAUCAUGUUCACCUUCAGCAGUUUGGGCACAUGUUAAAGGUUUUUAGAAUCUUUAUGAUGAAUCAUAAUCAGCUUGUUUUUAGACCUUAUAUGUAGGGAUGAAAAAAAAUAUGGCAAUGUGAUGAAAAUAUUUCAUGUAGUAAAUGAUAAUUUGAAUUUAUUAAAAAGUGAUAAAAUGUAUUGAUCAUGUUGAACUGUUGAAGUCUAAUCAAAGAGAGAGAGCAUGCAAGGUUCAUGGCCUAGUGGAGUAAACAUGGUAAAGAUCAUGAUGACUGGCACGGCAACUAUGGAUGGAGGAAGGAAGAUGAUUUGAAUUGUUCUUCUAUCAUACGAUGGAUAGACGAAUGAAUACAAACGAUAUGGUAUUAUCGGUGUUGAUGUGUGCAUGUUUUAAAGAAAUAUGCAGGUUUACAUGGUCAAUGAAAUCUUUAACUUUUACUCAAGAUAGAGUAAUACCCCAUCCUCACAAGAAAUUAGGUUAAAACCAAUUUUCAUAGAACAAUUUUGGUUUGCUUUGAAUGCAAAUUUCUACAUAGUUUAUGUCAGAAAUAAAAACCUGACUGGAGAGGUAAUAAUGGGGUAAUAUAUUUUUAGCAACAUGUGUGCGCAAUUCGAGUUUUAAACAAGGCUUUAUGCGUGUCUAGUGAUGAUAAUAUUCGUUAAGACUCAGAAAUCCAUAAAUCUACAUUUUUGUUAAAGAAAACGGAUUUUAUAUUGAAGUGUGUGUAUGAAUAUGCCUAUUCUGUUUAGUCACUUAAGCAACAUUUUAUAUCACACUUCUGAAUGAACAGAAAAGCACAUGUGGGAAACAUACUCCCUUCGAAAAUCCGUGAAUUGCUUCCUGAGUAUACACUAUUUUCAGUGAACAUUUACAUUUUUACUAAAAAACAGCAGCUCAUGGCUUUGUCAUCGAAAAUAACAUGUUGAUUUGAAGGUAUAAAUUAAAAUUAAACAAAAAUAGCGAACUUCAAAAAGUGAAAAGAUGGCGUAUGAAUUUAUCAUAUUUUAUUUCGUUCAUUACGUUUUACAAGAUACCCCCCCCCCAAAA